GAAGUGUGGACGCCAGUCUGCAUGGAGCCGACCUUGAAAUACCACCCUUUAAUGUUUGAUGUUCUAACGUUGACCCGUAAUCCGGGUUGCGGACAGUGUCUGGUGGGUAGUUUGACUGGGGCGGUCUCCUCCUAAAGAGUAACGGAGGAGCACGAAGGUUGGCUAAUCCUGGUCGGACAUCAGGAGGUUAGUGCAAUGGCAUAAGCCAGCUUGACUGCGAGCGUGACGGCGCGAGCAGGUGCGAAAGCAGGUCAUAGUGAUCCGGUGGUUCUGAAUGGAAGGGCCAUCGCUCAACGGAUAAAAGGUACUCCGGGGAUAACAGGCUGAUACCGCCCAAGAGUUCAUAUCGACGGCGGUGUUUGGCACCUCGAUGUCGGCUCAUCACAUCCUGGGGCUGAAGUAGGUCCCAAGGGUAUGGCUGUUCGCCAUUUAAAGUGGUACGCGAGCUGGGUUUAGAACGUCGUGAGACAGUUCGGUCCCUAUCUGCCGUGGGCGCUGGAGAACUGAGGGGGGCUGCUCCUAGUACGAGAGGACCGGAGUGGACGCAUCACUGGUGUUCGGGUUGUCAUGCCAAUGGCACUGCCCGGUAGCUAAAUGCGGAAGAGAUAAGUGCUGAAAGCAUCUAAGCACGAAACUUGCCCCGAGAUGAGUUCUCCCUGACUCCUUGAGAGUCCUGAAGGAACGUUGAAGACGACGACGUUGAUAGGCCGGGUGUGUAAGCGCAGCGAUGCGUUGAGCUAACCGGUACUAAUGAACCGUGAGGCUUAACCUU
rnacentral:rRNA from 1 species